rnacentral:lncRNA from 1 species
AUGGGCAUUUGAAUAAGUUGUUUUGUUGUUACUGUUUUUAGUUCUUGAAGGAACAACAAUCACCCAAUCAUCGGACUUUCAAUCUCGUUGCCGGAGUUUCAGUUUUCCUGUUGCCGACGUUUCAUAAAACGGUAGCAAGUUGUCCGAUCUUGAAGGAAUCAGAACCUCCGGCCAACCAAUCGACGAUCACAUAAUCGAUGGUGUCCUCCCACUUUCCACCGCCUCAUACUAGAAAUUGAAAAAGGCAUGUCAAAAGUCAUUGUUUUUUUUUAAUACCGAUAAAAAAAAAUUUAUUGUUUAGAGGGGAGAUCCACCCUACGCCCAGCUGACGUGCUAGUUUUUGGUUGGGAGGGCGGGAAACAUACUUGUGUCGAUCUCACAGGUGUAUCCCCACUAGCCGGGUUCCAGAAAAAUGGGUUUGUGG